CGAAGAUGUAGCUAGCAGAACCAGGCUAUCAGUUCCAGUCUUGUCUUUCCAAAAAGGCCUGAAGCCAGGCUUACAAAGAUGCUGCGGUGGCCAUGCAUUUGAUACCUGGAACUCUUAGCUCUGCAGGAUGCCAGGACACAGUUGGAUACCUGGAACCCUUAAGUCUGCAGGAUACCAGGACACCAAAGGCUGGAACCCUUAGCCUUGCCCUGUCAGAAAAAAAAAAUCUGUGGAGACUGGUCUGUGUUAAGUAGUGCUUGCAGGGAGCAGGUCUUUGCCAAAUCGAGGAAAUGCAGCUGCCAAGUCUUGAAUGCAAACCUUAAAACCUCACAAACAUCAAGCUGCAGAAGAGUCUCCAAGUCCUAG
ensembl:lncRNA